rnacentral:misc_RNA from 1 species
UAAUAAGUGUUUUAUGGCACUUUUUAAAUCCAUAUCCACCUUGUGUGCAAUGUCAGUCGAUCUUCUUUCAUGGAGGAUCGACCAAACAUCAACCUUUAUCUUUUAACUCUUUGUCUGAAAAAUAUUAUGAAUAAACAAUUCAAAAUA